CCUCUCUCUUUGUCUCCUCUCUGUGUAUUCUCCUGAAUAAAUAAUAAAAUCUUUAAACAAAACAAAAAAACUAAUUGUUAAAAAAAGAUGGUGGUAGUAGGAAUUAAGAGGAUGAAAUCAAAAGAAUGUGGAGAAAGAAUGGUCAGAACUUGAUGGCAGAGACAGGAUUGAAGAGACGAUAUUGUAAGAGAAUGACAGGUUUCUAUUUCAAAGCAGCUGGGUGGCUGGCAGUGCUGGAUCUGAAACAGAGAAGCAGCAGGUUUGAGGUGGUGAUAAGGAUCUCUGAUUUGGAUAUGUUGAAUUUGCAGUACCUAAAGGUCAUUUUCAUUAGACUGGGGACCUGGAGAAUGAUAUGGGUCAGAGAUACGAAUUUUGAUAGGUAUAAUUCACCCAACAAAAUGGUCUAUUUUGAAAUACACUGCACACUCUUAGCCCAAGGCACCAACUACAUUUCUUGUUCUACCUGUUUCGCCAGACUUUUUAAAUGCCCCUGAUGCCCAGUUUGUUAUACUUUUACUCUUGGCCAGUUCAGAACUCUUUUUAUAAUAUUCUACUUAUAACAGUUUUCUAAGUCCUAGAUGAUUAGACUCUUAGACAUUAUUAAAUUUAAUUUUAUAGGGUGGAAACCCCUGUGGAAACCCAGGGACUUCAGUUUAUUAUGUGUUAUGUUAAACAUUCAGUGCUGCUUUCCUGGCCACUUUCCCUCUUUCUCCACUCACUUUUUCUGACCACCCAGGCUCUGAGUCUUUUCUGCUCUCCAGCUGCUCUUCUCUUAACCCCUUCUUUACACUGUGGUCACUGCCUCAUUCUUGAAACUUCUUCCCACAUUUCCAUGACAGUUCCUGAUUUCCUGCCUACCUGCCACCUCUCUGGUUGCUAUACUUCCUCAAACCACUACUUAAAAGUUAAUGUUUUCUCGGAAUUCCCCACUUAGCUUCAUUUUCAUCUCACUUUAGUAUCCUCCCAGCUUAAGCUCAUCUACCCACACAGCUUCACAAACAAACAUUUUAAAUUACUGCUAAAUCUGAAACUCCAAAAAAAUUUAAAAAAUAAAAAAAUCUGAAACUCCAGCCUAGUUUUCUCAGUCCAGACCCAAACAUCUAACUCCUUUUAGGACACCUGCAUUUGGCUAGGUUCCAUGGGCACUUCAAAUCAACUGGCCAGAGUGAAAUUUUCUUCUCCUCCAUAAACUUGGGCUUUUCUACUCUUUUUUUUUUUUUUUUAAGAUUUUAUUUAUUCAUGAGAGACAUACAGAAAGAGAGAGAGAGGCAGAGACAAAGCAGGCUCCAUGCAGGGAGCCCGACAUGGUACUCCAUCCCCAGGUCUCCAGGAUCAGACCCUGGGCUGAAGGAGGCGCUAAACCGCAGAGCCACGCAGGCUGCCCUCUACUCUCAUUCUCAGCGAAUGGUCUCCUCAUCUACCCAGAAACUGGGAGACUUCUUUGACUUCUCCAUUAGUUCUCAAUUUCAGUCUGUCAUGAAGUCCUAUCAGUUUUACAUUUCAGAUGAGCAUUUUUCGAGAAGAGAAUGUGGUGUGAUUGAACAUAAUAAGGAAGUGAUAAUAACGUACAUGGGAGACUAGACCAACAGGAGACAAGUUUUGUUGCGGAACAUUGGAAAACACAGUUUUCAUGAUGAAGCUCUAUUGACUUGCUAAAUUACUUACAUGAGGUCCUUGAAGGCACAACUUCCACUGAGGAUACACAUUGAUUUCCAUCCCGUAGCAAAAGCUCUGCAGCACAAGCUCUGUACCCGGUGUUGUUUGAAUUAAUGAACAGGGCAGCUGCUUGUUCUCUCGGUUUAGCUGCCACAGAGCAGUCAUUAACAGGAUCUGAAUUCCAGACUAAAUCUUGAGCCCCGCCUCUGAAAAGGAAGACCAAAAAAAAAAAAAAAAAAAAAAAAAAAAA